rnacentral:rRNA from 1 species
GUGGGGAAUCUUGCGCAAUGGGCGAAAGCCUGACGCAGCCAUGCCGCGUGAAUGAUGAAGGUCUUAGGAUUGUAAAAUUCUUUCACCGGGGACGAUAAUGACGGUACCCGGAGAAGAAGCUCCGGCUAACUUCGUGCCAGCAGCCGCGGUAAUACGAAGGGGGCUAGCGUUGCUCGGAAUUACUGGGCGUAAAGGGCGCGUAGGCGGACAGCUUAGUCAGAGGUGAAAGCCCAGGGCUCAAACUUGGAAUUGCCUUUGAUAGUGGCUGUAUUGAGUUUGAGAGAGGUGAGUAGAACUCCGAGUGUAGAGGUGAAAUUCGUAGAUAUUCGGAAGAACACCAGUGGCGAAGGCGACUCACUGGCCCAAUACUGACGCUGAGGCGCGAAAGCGUGGGGAGCAAACAGGAUUAGAAACCCCUGUAGUCC